rnacentral:rRNA from 1 species
ACGGGAGGCAGCAGUGGGGAAUAUUGGACAAUGGGGGAAACCCUGAUCCAGCGACGCCGCGUGGGUGAAGAAGGCCUGCGGGUUGUAAAGCCCUUUCGGUAGGGACGAAAGCUCUUGCCUUAAUACGGCAGGAGGUUGACUUAACCUACAUAAGAAGCACCGGCUAACUCUGUGCCAGCAGCCGCGGUAAUACAGAGGGUGCGAGCGUUAAUCGGAAUUACUGGGCGUAAAGCGCACGUAGUCGGCUUUGCAAGUCGGGUGUGAAAUCCCCGGGCUCAACCUGGGAACUGCAUCCGAGACUGCAUUGCUAGAGUAUGGGAGAGGGAAGCGGAAUUUCUGGUGUAGCAGUGAAAUGCGUAGAUAUCAGAAGGAACAUCAGUGGCGAAGGCGGCUUCCUGGACCAAUACUGACGAUCAGGUGCGAAAGCGUGGGGAGCAAACAGGAUUAGAUACCCUGGUA